rnacentral:lncRNA from 1 species
GAUGAAGACUCCAUCGAGGGCCAGACCACAUGUCCACAGCCAAUUUGCUGCAUCCCUCUGGCCCCUCACAUACUUCUUCAUCCCAAGUGAAGGCUUCUUAUCUGUCACAAAGGCACAUCAAUCCUCACCCAGCAGAUAAUUCUGGGACCACCUUCCUCCUGACCUGAGAGAACAGCAUUUCAAUGAGACAAAGUCCAACCAUUCAGCAAGUGUGGAUCCAGUCAUUGAAAAACACUUCCACAGCCAAAGAGCUGUGUCCUGCGUAGACCUCCAUCAACUCUGAGUGUAAAAUACUCUGGGAGUGCUUAAGCCUUCAGUCUUGGACCCACUUUUCUAGGUCAUGGGGCUCCUCUUCAGAGAGGAAAACAGAAGGGAGUCAGGACAGAAAAUGAAUUAAUCACCUUGCUAGUCUGAUGACAGCUUCACUGUCUGUAUUUCACUGUAGACUAUAGGGCAGGCUCAAGGUGAGGAAGACAACUACUAUGAUAAUAGUGUCUUUAUAAAGGCAUUUCUACUGUCCAGUAGUGGGAAGGGGGAACUGCCAGCUCUUCUGAAGACCCCAAUAAACACUUGUAAGGAGAAUAGUCCUUAAGAUUCAUUGCCUCUGAGUAAUGUCAUGUCUCAUCCCUGAUCAGAUGGAGUUUUCACUCUUCGGGACCAAGGGCAACAGCAGGAGCCCUGUUCCCCAAUUUGGUUUGAAAUUUAUGCUGACGAAACAAGAGAAAUUGUAUUAUAUGAUGGAAGGAAGUUGGAUUAACAUUGAUCUUACUAGAAGGUGGGAACAUGUAGUUUAUGGCCUAUGGAAAGACAGGAGUGACAGGAGAGAACGGCUCUACUGAUGUUAAUGUUUCUUUCAAUUCAUAUUAUUUUAGAAUGAGUGCUCCAUCAUGGGCCAAUUUAAUUGGUGAUCCUUCUUUGCCUGCCCCAUACUCUGAGUCUCGGCUCUUCAUUUUUUAUGAAGCUUUCCUCGAACAGAGUGCAUCCGCUGCCCCAGAAUGAGUAUUCAGAUUCCUUCACUUCUUUCUGUGUGUGUAUAUUGAGGAAAUGUGUGGACAUGUCUGUGCAGCGAUUUGGGAACAAACAUGCAAUCCAGUUGCACCAUUCUAAAAAGACCUACCCAGGACUGAAAGGCUUUGAACUAUGGAUUUUAUUAAAAGUCAGAGAAAAGAAGGUGGGAUUUAAAGAGAUUGUAAUAGCAGAGGUGGAUUCAGCUCUGCAUUAA